rnacentral:rRNA from 1 species
GAACGCUGGCGGCGUGCUUAACACAUGCAAGUCGAACGAUGAAGCUUAGCUUGCUAGGUGGAUUAGUGGCGAACGGGUGAGUAACACGUAGGUAAUCUGCCCUGCACUUUGGGAUAAGCCUGGGAAACUGGGUCUAAUACCGAAUAGGACACACUAUCUUUACGGUGGUGUGUGGAAAGCUUUUGCGGUGUGGGAUGAGCCUGCGGCCUAUCAGCUUGUUGGUGGGGUAAUGGCCUACCAAGGCGUCGACGGGUAGCCGGCCUGAGAGGGUGUACGGCCACAUUGGGACUGAGACACGGCCCAGACUCCUACGGGAGGCAGCAGUGGGGAAUAUUGCACAAUGGGCGAAAGCCUGAUGCAGCGACGCCGCGUGGGGGAUGAAGGCCUUCGGGUUGUAAACUCCUUUCGCUAGGGACGAAGAGUUACAUUGACGGUACCUGGAGAAGAAGCACCGGCUAACUACGUGCCAGCAGCCGCGGUAAUACGUAGGGUGCGAGCGUUGUCCGGAAUUACUGGGCGUAAAGAGCUCGUAGGUGGUUUGUCGCGUCGUCUGUGAAAUCCCGGGGCUUAACUCCGGGCGUGCAGGCGAUACGGGCAUAACUUGAGUGCUGUAGGGGAGACUGGAAUUCCUGGUGUAGCGGUGAAAUGCGCAGAUAUCAGGAGGAACACCAAUGGCGAAGGCAGGUCUCUGGGC